GAUGAACGCUAGCGGCAGGCUUAAUACAUGCAAGUCGAGGGGCAUCAAGGUACACGAAAGUGUAUUGUUGGCGACCGGCGGACGGGUGAGUAAUAGGUAGGUAACCUACCUCAUACUGAGGCAUAGCUGGGAGAAAUUCCAGGUAAUUCCUCAUGAGGUUAUAUGACACAUGUGAUAUAAUCAAAGGUAUCGCAAGGUACUGGUAUGAGAUGGGCUUACUGACCAUUAGCUAGUUGGUGAGAUAAGAGCUCACCAAGGCGAAGAUGGUUAGGGGUUUUGAGAGAGAGAUCCCCCACAUUGGAACUGAGAUACGGUCCAGACUCCUACGGGAGGCAGCAGUAGGGAAUAUUGGGCAAUGGGCGAAAGCCUGACCCAGCCAUGCCGCGUGAAGGAAGACGGCCUUAUGGGUUGUAAACUUCUUUACUACGCGAAUAGAGGUUAGUACGAGAUACUAAUAGGAAGGUAGUGUAGUAAAAGCACGGCUAACUCCGUGCC
rnacentral:rRNA from 1 species